GCAUUUCUCAUUCAAGAGAUAAUGAGCAUCUUUUCUAAGGAGGAAGAUUAACAGGUGUUUCCUUUCUCCUGCAGGAUCCGAAGUGCCUGCUGCUUUGUUACUCCAGCCAGAACAAAACAAGAAGAGUCUAAGGGCUGUCUCUCUCCUUGCUUCUAGACCAUCCCACCAAAUGCAAGGCUUCAUCUCCAUCAUUUAUCUAAGCUCCCCGGCUUACGUGACAUCCCAUCUUUGUGAUCCAGUCACCGCCAUGUCUUCUCUCUGUUGUGUCUCUGAUAGAAAAUACCUCUGAGCAAAACUGAUAUAAGGCACAUACAAAACAUUGGGCUCACAAAAAAGAAGAAGAAUGACCUGUGUCCUUGAGAGGCUGUAAUUUGUUACUACUCCAAGAGGAUUUUUCAUUAGUAGGACAUAACAUCAUAAACCAAAGGAAAGAUCAUUUGUAAUAUCAGGAUUGGUAGAAUUUCAGGUUUGAGUCAUGUUGGGAGCUACUUUAGUAAUAUCAAAUAAAAAUUUUCCUUAGCUAUAAACUUGUGUGAAAA
rnacentral:lncRNA from 1 species